UUUGGGGUGAGUGGCCGAGCUGUGUGGGCAGCUGGGAUUGCAGUCCUUUAAAGGCAAAAAUGUAGAUGAUUUUAUGUUUCUUCUCAUGGGUUACAUAUUGGUACGUGAAUGGGAAUCUGCCUAUCUUCUCUGUAGUAUAUAAUGCAAGGCAGAUAGUCAAUUUUGUGAUUCAAAUAAUGUAAGCCGGGAUGAGUAGUAAUUACAAUCCUCCUCCCCACAGCCCAGUAUCCCCAUCUUGAAACAAACAAAGUGGAAGCCAUUCUGAAGCUUUUUAGAUGUCUGUCAACUUGGUAUCUGAGCACAGUUGUGAAGAAACAGAGAGUUCAAGGCAACUGGCUUUUUUUUUCUUGUCCCUGCCUCAGACAAAAUAAAAUAAGAGACUUCAGCAGCUGCAUGGAUUUUCAUGGCACAGGUGCAUCCUGACUGUGAAGCAGGCUUUCAGAGCCUCCACUGCACAGAGGCCAGACUUCAUCACUUCAGUUGCCAUUUAUGGGGGUGGAGUCUCGUUGUGGUUAGUGGAUUCCUGGGACAAAAGCACCUUUGUUUAUGAAACAAUUACUCAGCUCCUCCAGGUUGUUCAUGUGUUAAAAAAACAAGAGACAGCCUGUCAGUUAUCUGACUCAGAUUUUACUUGGGGUCCAGUUGCUGCCACCCAUGGAGCAUGUUCUCAAAUUGCAAGUCCCUCUUUAUGGCAUAGUUCCUUGUGCCACUAAAAAGGAUGCUUGAUAUUUCAGAGCAAAGAGAAAAAAUAUAAAACAGGAUGGUUCGUGCUGCUUAUUCUCAGUGGAGAUAGAGAUACAGAGGUAAACAAUUUUUCAGGUAAGUCUUGUACAUGUUCUCAUUUCAUACAUGGUAGUAUCCUUAAAAUAAAUAUUAGUUUCCCGCUAUCCA
rnacentral:lncRNA from 1 species